rnacentral:rRNA from 1 species
AUUGAACGCUGGCGGCAGGCCUAACACAUGCAAGUCGAACGAGUGGCGGACGGGUGAGUAAUGUCGGGGAAACCGCCCGAUGGAGGGGGAUAACUAGUGGAAACGGUCGCUAAUACCGCAUUCCAUCGUAUGCGCCCAGAUGGGAUUAGCUAGUAGGUGGGGAAAUGGCUCCCCUAGGCGGCGAUCCCUAGCUGGGCUGAGAGGAUGACCAGCCACACUGGAACUGAGACACGGUCCAGACUCCUACGGGAGGCAGCAGUGGGGAAUAUUGCACAAUGGGCGCAAGCCUGAUGCAGCCAUGCCGCGUGUAUGAAGAAGGCCUUCGGGUUGUAAAGUACUUUCAGUGAGGAGGCGUUACUCGCAGAAGAAGCACCGACUAACUCCGUGCCAGCAGCCGCGGUAAUAC